AAGCAACAGAGAAAAUCUUUCCUACGGACCGGGAUUUACCAUAUGCUGGUAUCAGGUGAUGGGAAAUGCUGCAGGUUGACAGAAGCUCUUGGUAGGAGGGUUGUUUUGCUCAAGAAUAUUUGAAAGGAAAAUGACCUACUUCAUUUUGACUAAGGUCAAAAGCUAGAAAAACAGGAGAAGAAGAAAAUAGCUGUUGUUUUGUUAAUCUGUGUUGUUUCCAAGUUUGUGUGGCCAGCUUCCAUCUUCACUCAAUUUGUUACUUUCACGUGGCUAGCUGAAGUACUCUGAGAAGAUGUGCAAUGCUAUCAGAAGAAAUGACAUCCUAGAAAUUCAUAAACAAUUAAUAGAUGUAAGUAAGGGUAGCAAGUAGGGUAGUAAUAGGGUCAUAACGCCUCCCAAAAGUAAUACAAUCUCUAAGAUAAAAAUAAAAUAAGGGAAAUGUUUAAUAAAUUCUACACUUUUCAUAUAUGGCUCAGCUAAUUUAGGUUUUGUAGAUCAAACAAAUACAAAGAUGUUGCUUGCCUAAGGAGUCAGCAAAGUGUUAUCAUCACUUCAUCUUUAAGUGUAGUGAGAAAUAUUUUCCUACUCCCAGGAGCAGAGCGGCCAGGUCACUAAUUUUCUCCAUCGCUAGAGGGCUCAAAAUACUUUCAGAACGUUGCACGUCUGAGCCAACCUUGAUGUUUAAAUAGUCCCUGGGCUUUGUAUAAUUUGCGUGUGUGUGCAGAGAGAGAGGUGUGUCUGUUCUUCACAUGCUGAAGCGUUACUGCACUUCUGACUUGCUUUCUGCUUGCUAUCAGGAAGUUCUAUGCAAGCAGCUAAGGGCAUGGCUGUCUCCUGGCCCAUGCCAUUUCUCUUUUCAUAUUUUUUACUUUUUAUUUGAUUUAUUUGCAAGGAAACCGAGGAUUCAACAAAUCUUCUUCAGUCCUUUACAGUACAAUCAUGGAAGUGCUGUGUUUAGAGAUCUGCUCUCAGACAGAUUGUGAGGUCCGGUGAUGCCUGGAGCUGUGCAGGGGUGUUUCCCUGAGGAAGUUGCCAGUGAUACGUGUACUGCUGAGCUGACCGCAGCACUUCUUGCUAGAGCACACCUGUCAAGAGGAUGAAUGAAUAGCAUGGUAAGGAUGCACUGUGUCUUCAGUUUAACGAAGAAAAUGGUCCUCCGUUUGUGGUCAACCUAGAACUGAAAGUCAGUACACUGUUAAUCCGUGGUUUCACAAUCACAGUGCUUUCUGAUUAGUGUUACUGUGGAACAGGCAAAUCACAGGGCACUUGUGUUUUGAUCUUAAAAUGAAAAAUUUGGAAAACUGAGGCUGAGCUGCUUACUCUGAGCUGUAGUAUGUAAACUGUGUGUUGUGGAUGCUUCAAAAGGAAUGAAUUUGCAUGGCAAAAGAGGUAUCUGUGUCUAAGUCUAAUAUGUCUAAUGGACUGAAUGUCCAUUAGGAUGCGGAGUUUUGUGUGCUGCCAUUUCAUUUCAAUUGAAUUGUGAAUAUUUGCUGUUGCUGAUUAUAUUAAUAUGUAAUUAUUACCAUGAGAGUCUAAUCCCCUGAAACCAUUGGUCACUUGGUGUGUGUUCAUUUAGCUAUAAAUGCUUUUCAUUUUCCACUUGUGUUUUAUCAUUUAAUUGCUUUACUCUCUUCAACAUCACUCUUUUUUGAUCUCCUGUUAAUCAUUAUUUGGAAUGAAAAUUAGCCCUUAAGCGAACAGUGCCUCAAAUCUAUCUUGCUUCUUUGUGUGUAGUGAUGACCUUGUGUUGGACAGAAAAACUACUAGCUAUCAUGUUAGAUUUUAUAAUAAGAAUUGUCUUCAUUAUAUUUGAAAAUUACAGUUUGAAAAAAAAAAAUAAUCCAACACUUAUAUUGUAAAUCAACAGAUUAUAUUUUUGAAGGACCUCAGAUUCUAAGAAAUCCUGCUCUUCUGGAAGUCUAGUAGAAACCUUUCAUUAAGAAAGUAUAAAAUCUACAUCUCUUUUUCUAAGAGUUCUAGGUAUGUUAAACUUCUCCAGUGCGUGAAGGGAAUCAGGUUUGUAAACACUGCUUUUAAAAUAGGAGUUGCUGUCCAUGGUAGUGAUACAUCUGGGUAAUCUGACAACCGAAAUGACAUAAAGAACUGUAUCCUCACUGACGUUGUUUGAGCCAGGCUGUAGAAUGGCAGCAGGACUAAAAAGAUGGGUCAGGAAGCUGCCUGUGAUACACUUGGGAAACCAGGGUAGUUCUGCUUUCCAUCCACCAAUUCCAUCCUGGGCUGUGUUUGUUUGUGUAUGUUUUCCUCUCCAGAAGAGAGGGUGAGGAAGCAUCAGGGUUGUUCACAGUCCUUUGGACAAGGCCUGCACAUGCAUCUGGAGAAUGGGUUUGCAGGUUGCACAGCCACUCUUUCUACUCUUAGUUAAGACAACAGCAAUUGCUUAGUUUCUACUUUGGGACCCACUCCAUUUCCUCUUAGUAGAAAGGCCCUUUAUUCAUUGUAGUGAACUGUAUUUGUAAGCCUUAAAUGUUUACGUGUUUUGUCAUAAAAUUAAUGAGCAUCCACCCCCUUAAAAAUCUCAUUAAAGUUCGUCUUUGGCAGGUUGCCUCCUAAAGACUCGACAGCACUUUGGUGGCUGAUCUGAUCGGAGUGUCGUCUUAUUCCCUCCUCCUUUCCCAUCUGUUUGUAUCCACCUCUUGUGUUACGAAAAUAAACUGUUUUGGGGUAGGAACUGUUUUUCUUUU
ensembl:lncRNA